AACCCAACCGAGGACGGGGACGGGGAGGAGAACCUGAUGGAGAAUCCCUACUCCAUGAAGCUGGAGUUUGUGGACGAUCCAAACUUCCCGAAUAAAAAGGUCAAUUACUCCUACAGCGCCGUCCAAAUCCCUACGGACAUCUAUAAAGGCUCACCGGUCAUCCUGAAUGAGCUAAACUGGACCCAGUCUUUGGAGAAAGUAUUCAUUGAUAAUCGCCGGGAGGACAGCUCUCUGCGGUGGCAGGUGUUCGGCAGCGCCACAGGGGUCACGAGAUAUUACCCAGCCGCUCCGUGGAGCAGUACACAGAAUAAGAUUGACCUGUAUGAUGUCCGCAGACGGCCGUGGUACAUCCAGGGAGCGUCAUCUCCCAAGGACAUGGUCAUCAUUGUGGAUGUGAGCGGCAGUGUCAGCGGACUCACUCUGAAGCUGAUGAAGAACUCGGUGGUGAAGAUGCUGGAUACGCUGUCUGACGACGACUACGUGAAUGUGGCCAGGUUUAGCGAGAAGGCCGAGGCGGUGGUCCCCUGCUUUAAGACCUUGGUCCAGGCCAACAAGAGAAACAAGAACAUCUUCAAGGAGUCCAUCAUGAACAUGCACGCCAAAGGAACAACCGACUACAAGUCUGGCUUCCAGUUCGCCUUCGAACAGCUGCUCAAUGUAACCCCCAGGGCGGGCUGCAAUAAGAUGAUAAUGAUGUUUACCGAUGGGGGGGAGGAUCGUGCUCAGGACAUCUUUGAGAAGUACAACUGGCCCAACAAAACUAUUCGAGUAUUUACCUUUUCGGUAGGGCAGCAUAACUAUGAUGUCACACCUCUGCAGUGGAUUGCCUGCGCCAAUAAAGGCUUCUACUACGAGAUUCCAUCCAUUGGAGCAAUUCGGAUAAACACACAGGAGUACCUGGAUGUUCUGGGUCGGCCUAUGGUUCUGGCGGGGCCAAGGGCCAAACAGGUCCAGUGGACCAAUGUGUACCAAGAUGCUCUUACUCUAGGUCUGGUCAUUACUGGGACCAUGCCAGUCUUCAACCUAACGGCUGAUGCUAACUCACAGCUCGUCCUCGGCGUCAUGGGAGUGGAUGUGGCGAUCAGCGAAAUUAAGAAAAAGACGCCAACAUACAGGCUUGGAGCUAACGGUUAUACCUUUGCAAUAGACCAAAAUGGCUAUUUACUUCUUCACCCCAACCUGCAGCCGAAGAUCAUUAACUUCAUAGAGCCUGUCACUUUGGACUUCCUGGAUGCUGAGCUGAUGGACAGCAAAAAAGAAGAGGUAACUAGGGCACUCAGCAGAACACCCACACCUCAACAAUGCAGGCUGGUGUUGCCCACGUACAGUGAGAACCACAUCAAGGCCAACCUGAGUGACCAGAUCCUGCAGGUGCAGUAUAAUCUUCCCCUUUCUGUUGCAGAUUUUGAAUCACUGCUGCCAAACAGUUUUGAGUCUGAAGGACAUGUGUUCAUAGCUCCCAGGGAAUACUGCAACGAGCUGGAGCUCUCCAACAACAACACAGAGUUUCUUCUCAACUUCAUCGCCCUCAUGGAGAAGGUGACUCCCGACUCCAAACAAUGUGACAGCCUGCUCCUUCACAACCUCAUCCUGGACACUGGCAUCAUCAGACAGCUGGUGGAGAAGGUGUGGAAGACCAAAGACCUUGCAUCAUAUGGCUUUUUGGCAGUGUUUGCUGCAACAGACGGAGGAAUUACCAGAGUUUAUCCCAACAAGGCUGCUGAGACCUGGGAGGAGGACCCCGAGCCGUUUAACGCCAGUUAUUACCGGCCAUCGCCCAGGCUGCAUGGGCUCUCCUCCUCCUCCGCCUCCUCAAUGAAUGACGACCUGCUGAACCAAGAGAACGACACCAUUGGGAUCCUGGUCAGCACUGCAGUGGAGAUCACGGUUGGAGGGAAAACCCUGAAACCUGCUGGUGAGCUGUCCUCCACACAUCACCCACUCUGGGAGCGAAGCUGUGAGAUGGACUGCGACUACAACUCUGAAGAUCUUCUCUGUUACCUAUUGGAUGAUGGAGGUUUUCUGAUUAUGUCCAAUCAGAAGGAGCACUCGAACAAGGUUGGCAUGUUCAUCACUGAAGCGGAUCAGUACCUUAUGCAUGCUCUCUACAACAACUCCCUUUACAACCGAAAGCAGUCCCUUGACUACCAGUCUGUUUGUGAACCUGUGCCAACCAGCAACACCGGGGCUGCACCAAGAGGAGUGUUUGUGCCGACCAUUGCAGACUUUGUGAACCUGGCCUGGUGGACAUCAGCCGCCGUGGAGGCUGAGGGGACGGACUCCAAGGAGACCAGCUGUGUGACGAUACAGACACAGUUUUACUUCACUAACGUCAGCAGCUCCUACGGCAUCAUGCAGGACUGUGGAAACUGCUCCAGGCUGAUCCAUGCCAGGAAGUUAAACAACACAAACCUACUGUUUGUGGUGGCAGAGAAGUUGCCCUGCAAUGCCUGUGAGGCGGAGAAAUUGUCCCAGGUGGAGACUGAAUUCAAGGACCUGAACCCUUCGUGUGACGACAUGAGCGCGGCGCGGUAUCGAAAAGGGCCCACCGUGUGCUACGACUACAACAUCACUGAGAAUACAUCGGACUGUGGGCAGGGCUACUCUUUCCGGCCAUCCGUCCAUACCCUGCUCACGAUCCAGCUCAUCCUCCUCUACCCAAUCGCCGGCCCCCAUAUUCUGCCCCUCCUACUUUAAUUCUGCUCCUUUCUGCACUCCCCAGCUCUUUGUCCAUCCUGAACACCCCCUCCCAACCCCCCAACCCCCCCCCCCCUCCCCCCCAGUGCCCUGUCCCUGCUCUAGUCAUAGGUAAUUGAGGGACUUCCUGUCACCGCAACUCGGAAGCCCUGAGUACCGCGCUACUCUACCCAGCUAGCUUCGAUUGUUGUUGCUUAGUGACAGUUGCAGGACCUUGCACGUCCUUCAGCGGGUUACAUGCCUUCAUCCAUGUGAAGAGAUUGAGAAGGCGGUGCUCAACCAAUCAACAGAGGCUACAUCAGAAAAAGAAAAAAAGACCCCACUCUCCCAUUUGCAUCAACAGGACGAGAGACAAGUGAAAAGACACAGAAAAAAAUGACUAGUUGGAUGCCAUGCCGCGGAGCCUUAGCCGUCAUGGACAUUGCGGAGUUUAGCUUGUCUCUUUCCGCCGCGGUUAGUCGAGACAGGAUGAAGAGAUGUGGCCUCUGUCUGUCUCCCUCCUCAGAUCUGCCUUCUCACAGGUCUCUUAUUCGCCUCGCAUAGUGGGCUACUGUGCUGACCAUUCUACCACAUAUCUACUAGAACAAGAAGAUUAAGGGGUGAAAAAAAAAGAACAUACAUCAACAUACAAUUUUAAACUGUUCAAGUGAUGAGUAUUCGAAGCUAAUGUUAGGGUAUCAUUUGCAAUGGAAGUUUUUAGGUGUUACAUUAAGUUAUUUAUGCACUAUAUCUACUUCUUGCCAAAAUGAGAUAGACUUUUAAUGUGGUCUUAUUUUUAUAGCCAAAUUAGUGAGAAACCUAGAAAGGGAAGCUAGAGGAAUAGUGUUAAGAAUAACCGUUAGAAAGCGGCUAAAAACAGAUUCUGUUUCUACAUCUCUAUCUUGUUCUUUAAGUUUGAAAUUGUUCGGCUCCGGAAAAACAGUAAUGUAUUUGAUAUAAUUGCAACAAAGAUAGAAAAAUCCGUAACUAUUCUACAAAAUAGUAGAAUAAAAAUCGGACAUUUAACUGAAGAAAUGAAUAG
rnacentral:lncRNA from 1 species